GGGGAUGUAACUCAGUGGUAGAGCACUUGCUUAGCAUCCUAAGGUCCUGAGUUCAAAUCCCAGCAACCACA
rnacentral:tRNA from 1 species